GGGGGCGAUCGGCUUCGACGAGGUCGGUGCUCCACGAGCAGCAUGUCGAGUUGCCUCAGACUCGUAAAACGGGGGUUUUUCACAACUGCCGACAACCAAUUGGCAAUGGCUGCGUAAUCACGCGGUCCGUCUCGCCACCGUCGACCCGGCGGAGGUGGUAGAGGCGACGACAAUCCGGGACGACGCCCUUCUCGAGCCAGCGGGAGAAGGAGCGUCGCAAGCACCGCCGGCUGGCCAAGCGGAAUCCCGUCCACCGGAGCCCGCGAGGCGAGAUCAAAGGUGGAACAAACAUGUAGCGGUUCGUGGUUAUCCGGUUUCGGACGCGGGUUCGAUUCCCGCCGCCUCCACCA
rnacentral:tmRNA from 1 species